rnacentral:lncRNA from 1 species
CUGGUACUAAUUUUUUUGUAAAGUUUUAUCAGAAUAGACAUACUAAUUCAUUUAGAUAAUAUUUGCAGGUGCUUCACACUUGUUGGGACAGAAACCACGUGACCUCCAAAGCCAAAAAUAUUUUGUGUCUGGCCCUUUAGAGAGAAAAGUUUGUCAACUAUCUACGUUUCCUUCAAUUCUCUGAUGUUUGAACCCAUUCUGGAAAACGGUAUGGACAGGAUCAAGAGCAAUUUCUAACUUUUCCUGGUGACACUGAAUCAAGUUUGAACCAAAAGAAGGUUUGAGGUAGAUGUUGCAGGGACAUCCAAGGACAUAAUUGCUAGUAACAGGGUCAGAGAAUAAACUAGCACACACUGAGGAGGGGAACCAAAAAGUCACAAGCAUGUCAACACAACACGACUGAACUCUGCUUCUGCUGAUGAGAAGUGUCAGUGCCACAGACGUGAGGUGAAUGGCAGGGGAGCUCUUUCACUGAACUGUCAACUAAUGAAGUGGUGAGAAAUUAGGAGGCCCUGUAAUUUACACGCUAAUUCUCCCUAAUGCCACCUGGGGGCUUCCUCCAGGCAGAGGAGCAGAGGAGUGGAAAAUGGUGUCGUCCAGCCAGCAGCAAGCCUGUGCUGCUAUUCUGUCUUUGCCAAGCAACACAGCAGACCAGCUUGUUCCAUUCACCAUUCAGGGAACAGUUGGCAGACUUCCCCCAGAAUGUGGGCAAGCCUCAGCUAUAAGAGCAAAAUGAAGACAAAGAAAAGAAUUUUAAGUCUCAUACCUUUUUGCAUUUUUUGUGUGCUCUCUACAAGUUGACUCAGUGGGCAACCCUCUACCUUUCCUCAGCUCUGACAUCUCCCUCUCACCACAAGCAUAAGUCACAUAAAAUUGGUUGCUGUAAUCAAUGCUCUCCUUGAAACAAAACUCAGAAAUAAAAUGGGUGAUACAUUGCUAUCACUGCACUUAUCAUCAUUAUUUAAAGGAGCUUUUUUUUUUUAAACACAUUUAACAAAU